AAUCAAAGCGGGGACAGAAAACAUCACCUCCCUUAGCCAGCAUGAAGUAGUCACUGACCAAAAGAGUCACUUCCAGGAAUUAAAACCAUUUUGUGCCAAGAGUUACCGAAGACUAACAGACAAUUCAGUGGUUUAUAGCAAAGCCAAUGUUGUUUGUCAUCAUACUCAUUAAGGCAUAGUGGGUUUGAAGAAAUAAAAGAAGACAGCAUCAUCUCUGUUUUGAGAAUGAGAUACCUUCAAUCAUUUCAGAAUGUCUACUCCUUCUCGACUAUAAAGCCUCUGUGCUUCACUCUUCCCUUCGUUCUCACUGAAACACUGUACAAGUGCGUGGUUUCAAAGUACCUUAAGCAGAAUACAGGCUGACCAAUUAAGAGGCAAACUAUUCCCUCAGUUUAUGAAGAGAAGAUGAACAUCCAAAGGUAAACAAAACUUUCACUGAGCUUAUUACCCACAAAAUCUGCAACAGAAUUGUACACCAUGACUGUUCAUGGGUGCACACUCCCUCAUUUAAAGUUCACAUACAAAAAACACAGUAUGACUCUCGGCUAGCACUCUGAAGUUCAAAAAUACUUUCAGAAUAUGCAACAACGUUUAGAUUGAACUGUUUAGUGGUAGAUAGCUAAUCUACCAAAAAUGCCAAAAAUGAUCAUCUAAUCUAA